GAUGAACGCUGGCGGCGUGCCUAAUACAUGCAAGUCGAGCGAACGGACGAGAAGCUUGCUUCUCUGAUGUUAGCGGCGGACGGGUGAGUAACACGUGGAUAACCUACCUAUAAGACUGGGAUAACUUCGGGAAACCGGAGCUAAUACCGGAUGAUAUUUUGAACCGCAUGGUUAAAAAGUGAAAGACGGUCUUGCUGUCACUUAUAGAUGGAUCCGCGCUGCAUUAGCUGGUUGGUAAGGUAACGGCUUACCAAGGCAACGAUGCAUAGCCGACCUGAGAGGGUGAUCGGCCACACUGGAACUGAGACACGGUCCAGACUCCUACGGGAGGCAGCAGUAGGGAAUCUUCCGCAAUGGGCGAAAGCCUGACGGAGCAACGCCGCGUGAGUGAUGAAGGUCUUCGGAUCGUAAAACUCUGUUAUUAGGGAAGAACAUAUGUGUAAGUAACUGUGCACAUCUUGACGGUACCUAAUCAGAAAGCCACGGCUAACUACGUG
rnacentral:rRNA from 1 species